UAUCACUGGGCCAGUUAAGUUUUAUUACUAGGUCCCACGUGUCGAAAAAAGGUCUUCUGUGAUUGGAAGUUCGGCUCGCGCAAAGAGCGCCAAAUGAAGUCCUGUGAGGUGACAAAACUGACCAUCGUCAGAAUGAAGAAACACGCUUUAGAUUAAAAAGAGGUGCGAACCAUAAAAUAAACACUGCUGUAAAUGUUUUAGAUUAGUAAGUACUACUAUUAACAUUUAUUUAAGCAUCAUUCUGCUUUUGCUUCAGACUGACGGUGAUCCUGAUGACCCUGAAAUUCUGAGUAGUCCAGCACCUUCAUUCUUGUGCAAUUUUUGAAGAAGCGCGUUCCCACUGAUGACAGCAGAUUUGAGAUGCCCUGCUGGAACCUUCUUUCAGAGAUCAAAUAUAAUGGUCUGAAAUGAAUGGGAACAGAUGGACUCAGGUCUAUUUUUGGAGGGUGAUGCAAGAGAAUCUGACGGGUGCUUAGAAGUUUACGUUGCAAUCUUGGUUACAUUCCAGACCAUUUUAGUGUCAGAAUUAAUUAUGUUUGAUGUGCUAUGGUCUAAUCAUCCUGAAAGUAGGUUUUUAGCAGAUGCUUUUUAGCAAAAUAAAGUACACAAAUAUAUAUACAUACAGUCAUGGCCAAAAAUAUCGGCACCCUUGGUAAAUAUGAUCAAAGAAGGCUGUGAAAAUUUAUCUGCAUUGUUAAUCCUUUUGAUAUUUUAUUAAAAAAAUUCACAAAAAUCUAACCUUUCAUUGGAUAAUAAGAAUUUUAAA